rnacentral:lncRNA from 1 species
UACGUGCACUGAACUGCUGGAAUAGGAAGGGCUCCUGCUGUUGCGUUGACAUACAUGUUCUGGGUGCAAGGCUAUAAAACUUAUGGAAGUUCAUGAAUUACUUAUUCUACUUCUGAUCUAUGUUCUCUCUACAUGGUUACCUUGAUAUCUAUAUAUUAUGUGAGGAUGCUUGGGGAUUUGCUUCUUCUCCUAUGCACCGAUGAUUAUGAUAGUUAGAUUUCUAGACCACUGGAUCACGUUUUGUAGUAAUAUAUACUGAAAAUAUAGCACUCAAAUGAUUAAAGCUUGGGUUAGUUCAUCAAAUAGUCUUAGGAUUUAGCUAUUAUAAUUGUGAUAUCUUUAGAUGGCUGCUGGAAAAUAAAUCUUGAAUACCUAAUUUUUUCUGGUUAGCAAAGUGUUAUACUUUCUUAUUCUCUUGGGGCUAUCUACUCUAAUCACUUUUAAAUGAGAGCUCUGCACACUUUAGUGUAAGCAAUAAUUGAUUUAUGAAGAGCGGCGAGGGGUGCAAAUCACUGCUAUCAAUUAACGUAUUUUUUUGUUGGCAAACUAGAAAUUUUUUGAAAGUUAAGUCACCAUCCCAUUCUCACAAAUUGUCUUUUACUGCUAAAUACUUGGAACCAUCACCAUCCCUUUUCACAUAUGAGACUGUUCACGAGUACAUGCAUUGAGAAAUUUCACCAUGAAUACACUCACUCACAAACGUAGGGCUUCACAUAUUGUAAUCUUUGAUGUAACAGAGGCUUUGAUGCAUUUGAUUUGAGAAUGCGUCUUCCUGACGUGGUUAGUACACUGUCCAAAGCUGCUAAGCAAAAUGGAGAAGUUACAUUCGUGCACACUGCACUGCACUACUGGAAUGGGAAAGGGUUGUUUUUUGGUAUAUGGGCAUGAAAGCUUAUUGAUUGUAACUCUGACACUGAAAGUAAAGUGUUAACAUUGGAUGGUAACAGGUGAAUAUUAGAUAAAAUGUUUGAUGUCUUGCUACUAAACACAUAACAACUGUAAAACCAAAGGCCCUUAGCCCAUUAUUAUAAUUUCUAUUCAGCCCAUCAAAUAAAAGAGUUCUCGGAGAGUGUUUGUU